CUCCCACAUCGCUCGGUCCACCGCCGUCAGAAACCCCACGCCGCCGCUACUCCGGGGCAUCGCGCCAACCGGAAUCGCCUCCGCCCACCGCCGCCACCACAUCCCCCGCUGCCGAAACCUACACGCGGCCGCCGCACAGCCGUCGCUCCGGCAUCCCCACCGCCAUGAACCCUACGCUGCCGCCACUAGCAAACCGAUUGAGGCAGGUUCAACAGGAGCUACCAUCUUUGCCUACAACAGCAUGUCAGCAUCUAUGGAAAAGCUUGCGAGUCAUCAGCCUACUGAUACUACUGAAGAUAUGUCAAAAAAGUAUGCCAAUGCAUAUUUCUUAUGGACAUGGCAUGAAAGGGUCAUUGAAGGACAAACCGUCUUAUCACAUGCUAAAGAUCAUGAUGAAGGAAUUUCUCUCUUCUUUUGAACUACCUCAGCUUGGAAGCAAAUUGUAGGGUGAAGGGACAUAUCAUCAAAGAGCUAUCGCCAUAUGAGUUGUACGAGCAGUACACACAUAUGAAGAAGGAACCGUCCUCUGAUGGAUUGAGUGAGCUAAUCAAGGUUGCUGAGAUACUUAAAAGCACAGGAGCAGUAGAACUGAAUCCUGAAGGCAUCCCAACAAAGCGAUGCACAAUUUCGGACUACAAGCUGUUCGAUACGAAAAAUCCUGAAGGUCUGUCUGAAGCACUGGAUAACUUAAGGAUGCAUGGUCCACUGGUUGCUGUGUACUCUGUGACAGAGUAUCAAAGAAGGAAUGAAGACUCUUUUGGCAUACUUCAUGGUGCAGAGGAGCAGGUUGUGGGUGUGUGCCAAGAGACAGAUGAUGGAAUCGAAGUGAGUCCUUCCAAGAGGACGGUAUGCGUCACAGGAUUUGGGGUGGAAGACUUGUGCUCUUUUCUUCAGUUCCAAAAGUUCAGAAGGGUGCAAGAGGAAAAGGGGAUGUUUGGGCGAGUCCUUGCUUCAUCGACCCUUGAACUGGUUGGGUUUUUUGUUGAAGCUCCCACGAGAUGCUAGAAGAGGCAGAAGAAAGAAACCUGAAGCAUAGGUCUGAUAGGGGUUUAUGAAAUGGAGGAGUCCAACUACAACGAUUGGCCUGUUGUUUAUUGCAACCACCGAGUCAUGUCUUGAGUCUUAUACUUCCUUGUUUGCAAAUGUGGUUGAUGAAACAAAAGGAAGACCUUAUGAUGAGCCUGACGUCAGUAUUUCGAUGCCAACAGAUGCUUAUAAGCUUGCACGUCCAGUUAACUAGCGCUUGAUCGAAAUUUA